rnacentral:rRNA from 1 species
CCUACGGGGGGCAGCAGUGGGGAAUAUUGGACAAUGGGGGGAACCCUGAUCCAGCCAUGCCGCGUGUGUGAAGAAGGCCCUCGGGUUUUAAAGCACUUUCAGUGAGGAAGAACGCCUGGUGGUUAAUACCCAUCAGGAAAGACAUCACUCACAGAAGAAGCACCGGCUAACUCCGUGCCAGCAGCCGCGGUAAUACGGAGGGUGCGAGCGUUAAUCGGAAUUACUGGGCGUAAAGCGCGCGUAGGUGGCUUGAUAAGCCGGUUGUGAAAGCCCCGGGCUCAACCUGGGAACGGCAUCCGGAACUGUCAAGCUAGAGUGCAGGAGAGGAAGGUAGAAUUCCCGGUGUAGCGGUGAAAUGCGUAGAGAUCGGGAGGAAUACCAGUGGCGAAGGCGGCCUUCUGGACUGACACUGACACUGAGGUGCGAAAGCGUGGGUAGCAAACAGGAUUAGAUACCCGAGUAGUC